GGCGAACGGGUGAGUAACACGUGGGUGAUCUGCCCUGCACUUCGGGAUAAGCCUGGGAAACUGGGUCUAAUACCGGAUAGGAGCCAUUUUUAGUGUGAUGGUUGGAAAGUGUUUUCGGUGUAGGAUGAGCUCGCGGCCUAUCAGCUUGUUGGUGGGGUAAUGGCCUACCAAGGCGGCGACGGGUAGCCGGCCUGAGAGGGUGGACGGCCACAUUGGGACUGAGAUACGGCCCAG
rnacentral:rRNA from 1 species